rnacentral:rRNA from 1 species
UGACCUCUGACCUCGAAUCAGGUAGGACUACCCGCUGAACUUAAGCAUAUCAAUAAGCGGAGGA